GUGCCUAACACAUGCAAGUCGCACGAGAAAGUGGAGCAAUCCAUGAGUAAAGUGGCGAACGGGUGAGUAACACGUGACUACCUGCCCUCGAGUGGGGAAUAACCUCGGGAAACCGGGGCUAAUACCGCAUAACAUCGAGAGAUCAAAGCAGCAAUGCGCUUGAGGAGGGGGUCGCGUCUGAUUAGCUAGUUGGUAGGGUAACGGCCUACCAAGGCGAUGAUCAGUAGCCGGCCUGAGAGGGCGCACGGCCACACUGGAACUGAAACACGGUCCAG
rnacentral:rRNA from 1 species